GCAGUGGUGGUUCAAUGGUAGAAUUCUCGCCUUUCAUGUGGGAGACCUGCGUUCAGUUCCUGGCCCAAUGCA
rnacentral:tRNA from 1 species